rnacentral:rRNA from 1 species
GACGAACGCUGGCGGCGUGCCUAAUACAUGCAAGUUGAGCGCUGAAGGUUGGUACUUGUACCUACUGGAUGAGCAGCGAACGGGUGAGUAACGCGUGGGGAAUCUGCCUUUGAGCGGGGGACAACAUUUGGAAACGAAUGCUAAUACCGCAUAAAAACUUUAAACACAAGUUUUAAGUUUGAAAGAUGCAAUUGCAUCACUCAAAGAUGAUCCCGCGUUGUAUUAGCUAGUUGGUGAGGUAAAGGCUCACCAAGGCGAUGAUACAUAGCCGACCUGAGAGGGUGAUCGGCCACAUUGGGACUGAGACACGGCCCAAACUCCUAAGGGAGGCAGCAGUAGGGAAUCUUCGGCAAUGGACGAAAGUCUGACCGAGCAACGCCGCGGGAGGGAAGAAGGGUUUCGGAUCGUAAAACUCUGUUGGUAGAGAAGAACGUUGGUGAGAGUGGAAAGCUCAUCAAGUGACGGUAACUACCCAGAAAGGGACGGCUAACUACGUG